AUUUUGAUGGCAAUAGCUAACGAUAUGAUAAAUAUAUUCUAGACAGGUCUUCUUUCAAUAUACCCUUGACGUUACUGCUCUAUAGUCUAUUCUAUCUGUUUUAAAUCAGCAACUUAGAACUUUUGAAGAGUUAUUCAAAUGCUUCUAAGCUGUAAAUUCGACCAAAGACUUUUCAGUUCAUUAGCCCUUCAAAAAUGUAAAUGUUUUCUGUGUCAAGAACUGGAGGGAUGAAGGGUGUAAAAUGUUACACUUCCAAGAAAAGCAGAGCUUACAGAUCUGCAUGUAACAAUGAGCGGAUUGACAGCUCUGACUUCUCUCAGCCAGAACUGCUAACUUCAUCUGACAAAAAAGAAAUUCCUCAUCAAAUCAGGACAGAAGAGUACCAAUAUUGGCAUUUGUACAUCAUUCAUUUCCUGAGGUUACGAAACAUCUAAUGCAUUACUGUGACAUGCAACAGCCAAAAGGUUUGCCUUCAUUUUCAUAGCUACUCAGUAGAUAGCCAUCCAGUAUUUGCUCCUCGCUAUUCUAAAUCUAGAAACAUUUAUAGUUGUGUUUAGGCUCUUAGAGAGGACUGUUUAUGCAGUAUAAGAGUACUGUCAUACUGCUCUCUGCACCUCCGAUAUCUCUCCUGCCCUUUUCUGAUGGCCUGUUUGUGUUUUUGAUCCAGAGUCAUGUAAUGGCCUUGCCCAGUACAGGUUUGUCUUUCUCUUGUAUUUUCAUUCUUGUUUUUAAGUAUUCAUGACUAAAGAAGAAAUGUGGCACUGAGUGGACAAACACACACUGAUUAUUGUGAUUUUAAACUUUAUUUAUUUAUUUUUUCCCUGUAAUGAAUUGUUGGAAGCUUAGCUUUGCUUUGGGUGUUAAUUUAAAAAACUUGGCUGACUUCUGUAAAUGUGAAGCAAAAUCUUCUUUCAGGCUGAGAAAAAGAUGGUGCAGCCUUUAGGUACCUGCAUAAAGGAAUGGGUAUAAAGGAAUUGAGAAAGUGGAGGAAGAAUGUAUCUUCCAGCCAUGUUAAGCAAGAAAAAAAUUGCUGGAAGUGUUUAUGAGAUUAAAAAGUAGUCUUG
ensembl:lncRNA